GCGCUUCGGGGUCCGGUCGCCGGGGACCUGGGCUCCCCAUGUAGGGGUCGAACGGGCUUAGCCGGUUCGGGGGCGCCCCGCUCCCUCCUCUUCUCCCACAGCCGGGGUCCUCUCUUAGGGGCGCGCCGUCUCCUGGCUUCCUGAGAGGCUUUAGCCUAGACAGCUGAGUGUGAGGAACAGUGAUUCCCAUUGAUCCUUGUUCCCUCCGUGGGUCACAGAGUCCAGAACUUAAGAGCCACCCAAGAUCUGAAGACAGCAUGUACAC
rnacentral:lncRNA from 1 species